GGUGUGGCUCAGUUGUAGAGCACUUGACUAGCAUGCACAAGGCCCUGGGAUCAAUUCCCAGCCCA
rnacentral:tRNA from 1 species